CCUGGAGAAGGUGGGUUGGCCAUGGAGAGCCUGGUUUGGCUGUGUAGAAGGUGGUUUGUUCAUGGAGAACAAGCUUUGGUCAUGGAGGAGGUGGGUUGGGCCUGGAGAACCUGCCUUGGCCAUGGAGGAGGUGGGUUGGGCCUGGAGAACCUUCCUUGGCCAUGGAGGAGGUGGGUUGGGCCUGGAGAACCUGGCUUAGUCCAGGAGAACUUGCCUUGGCCAUGGAGAACCUGGUUUGGUGCAUGGAGAAGGUGGGUUGGUCCUGGAGAACCUGGUUUGGGCCAGGAGAACCUGGUUUGGGCCAGGAGAACCUGCCUUGGCCAUGGAGAAGGUGGGUUGGGCCUGGAGAAGGUGGGUUGGGCCUGGAAAAGGUGGGUUGGCCAUGGAGAACAAGCUUUGAUCCUGGAGAAGGUGGGUUGGCCAUGGAGAACUUGGUUUGGUCCAGAAGGUGAUUUGGUCCAGCCUGGUUUGGUCUGGACCUGGUUUGGUCCUGCCCCCAUCCCCGUGGUCCCCACUGAUGUCCCGGUGAUCCCAUCCUUGGGAUCUCUCCCAAACACCCCCCUGAGCCCCUCCCCUGCUGUCCUGGUGUCUCCCACGGGUGUCCCGGUGAUCCCAUCCCCUGGGAUCUCUCCCAAACACCCCCCAGAGCCCCCCGUUGAUGUCCUGGUGGUCCCCAUUGGUGUCUUGAUGGUCCCCAUUGGUGUCCCAGUGAUCCCAUCCCCAGGAUCUCUCCCAAACCCAAACCAGAGCCCCUCACUGAUGUCCUGGUGUCCCCCGGUGUCCCCCCGGUGUCCCCUGACAUGGUGUCCCUCCAUGUCCCCCCCAAUCCCCCCCUGCUGUCCUG